UACUGAAUUUCAUGUGGGCUGCU
rnacentral:miRNA from 1 species